AGUCACUGACAUUAGAUACCCGGGUAGUCCAGGGUGUAAACGCUGCAGACUUGGUGUUGGGAACCCUUCGGGGGUGCUCAGUGCCGGAGAGAAGUUGUUAAGUCUGCUACUUGGGGAGUACGUCCGCAAGGAUGAAACUUAAAGGAAUUGGCGGGGGAGCACCGCAACGGGAGGAGCGUGCGGUUUAAUUGGAUUCAACGCCGAAAAACUCACCAGCAGCGACUGUUACAUGAAAGUCAGGUUGAUGACCUUACUAGAUUUUCAG
rnacentral:rRNA from 1 species